rnacentral:misc_RNA from 1 species
UAUUUGUCUUUUUAUUCAGCGGAUUCAUAAUACCAAGACCAUCAAUGCCCGUUUGGCUGAAAUGGGGAUUUUGGAUUUCUCCGUUGACAUAUGGUGAGAUAGGUCUUGCUGUAAAUGAAUUUCUCGCCCCAAGGUGGCAAAAGACGCUCUCGACAAACACAACUCUAGGGAAUGAAGUCCUUGAUAGCCGUGGGUUAAACUUUGAUGGAUAUUUGUAUUG